rnacentral:rRNA from 1 species
GUGAAUGCGGGGCCGUGGUGCCUGGGACUCCGUAUGGCGCGGGCGUUGUCCGGAAGUAUUGGGCGUAAAGAGCUCGUCGGAGGCUUGUCGGGUAUGCUGUGAAAACGCGGGGCUUAACUCCGCGCGUGCAGUGGGUACGGGCAGGCUAGAGUGUGGUAGUGGUGACUGGAAUUCCUGGUGUAGCGGUGGAAUGCGCAGAUAUCAGGAGGAACACCGAUGGCGAAGGCAGGUCACUGGGCCAUUACUGACGCUGAGGAGCGAAAGCAUGGGGAGCGAACAGGAUUAGAUACCCUUGUAGUC